rnacentral:rRNA from 1 species
GAUGAACGCUGGCGGCGUGCCUAAUACAUGCAAGUCGAGCGAACGGACGAGAAGCUUGCUUUUCUGAUGUUAGCGGCGGACGGGUGAGUAACACGUGGAUAACCUACCUAUAAUACUGGGAUAACUUCGGGAAACCGGAGCUAAUACCGGAUAAUAUUUUGAACCGCAUGGUUCAAAAGUGAAAGACGGUCUUGCUGUCACUUAUAGAUGGAUCCGCGCUGCAUUAGCUAGUUGGUAAGGUAACGGCUUACCAAGGCAACGAUGCAUAGCCGACCUGAGAGGGUGAUCGGCCACACUGGAACUGAGACACGGUCCAGACUCCUACGGGAGGCAGCAGUAGGGAAUCUUCCGCAAUGGGCGAAAGCCUGACGGAGCAACGCCGCGUGAGUGAUGAAGGUCUUCGGAUCGUAAAACUCUGUUAUUAGGGAAGAACAUAUGUGUAAGUAACUGUGCACAUCUUGACGGUACCUAAACAGAAAGCCACGGCUAACUACGUG